rnacentral:rRNA from 1 species
UGGGGAAUCUUGGACAAUGGGGGAAACCCUGAUCCAGCAAUGCCGCGUGUGUGAAGAAGGCCUUCGGGUUGUAAAGCACUUUCAGUGGGGAAGAAAUUCCCAAGGUUAAUAUCCUUGGGCGUUGACGUUACCUACAGAAGAAGCACUGGCUAACUCUGUGCCAGCAGCCGCGGUAAUACAGAGAGUGCAAGCGUUAAUCGGAAUUACUGGGCGUAAAGCGCGCGUAGGUGGAUAUUUAAGUUGGAUGUGAAAGCCCUGGGCUUAACCUGGGAAUGGCAUCCAAUACUGGAUAUCUCGAGUAUAGUAGAGGGAAGUGGAAUUUCCGGUGUAGCGGUGAAAUGCGUAGAUAUCGGAAAGAACACCAGUGGCGAAGGCGGCUUCCUGGACUAAUACUGACACUGAGGUGCGAAAGCGUGGGGAGCAAACAG